rnacentral:misc_RNA from 1 species
CUAUACAAUAUUCUCGAUAUCUGUUCUGUAAGCUGCAGAUUACAGUACCGAUAUGGGAUUAUUGUGUAGAGCUGCGUGCAUCCCCGUAGUGCUCCAUAAUGAGAGUGUUUGCGGAUGGCUUCUGUUUUGGUAUAGUUAUGCCAGAACAUAGUUUUAUAUCUGCAGAGGAGUUGGGAACUCCUGGUUAGGAGUCUAGAGUUAGAAUAUUGAAAGGUUACAGCUAGGGUAACUGAGUCACUGACUCAAGUUUACCCUAGCAUGAGCUAGAGUUACAAUAAGAAUUGCCAUCAGACCAGAGGUUUCGGAUUAGUUGCAAAGUAAAGGUGACACCCAUAGAGUGAGAUUAUCUAGUAUUCAGUAUGGAAUUUUGGAUGGUUUUUGCAGUAUGACAAACAUUUUGCUUAGAGCUUAGUGAGAAUAGUAUAUCUUGUGUGUAUUAGUAUGGAAUAAAGUACAACCCCACUACCUAGAGAAGGUCGAAAUUAUGAAUUGAUGAUUUACAGAGCUAUGAUAUGAUAAAAGAGACAUUAAUUUUGACAUGGUUUUGGGCAAGGUGGUAAAUGUAGUACCUUUGUUGCAGCAAGUUAGGGUAUAGUCCUAUCUUUUCAGAAGGGAUUGAAGGUUAUUGCUGAUAAUGAUGACUUAUGGAAUAGUGUCCCAGAUGGGACUGUAGAGUGUGGUAGAGAGUAAUUGGCUCGGGUAUCCUGCAGAGGAUACAAGUUUCAUUAUAGGAAUCAUAUAUAAUCNNNNNNNNNAAGGAUGUAAAUCCUUUGAAUUGGAUGACGGGUUUGGGUGCCCGGAAUCUUAAGUUUUGGCGA